rnacentral:rRNA from 1 species
UGCGUAGGCGGCUUGGUAAGUCACGUGUGAAAGGCCGGGGCUCAACCCCGGAUCUGCAUGUGAGACUGCCUGGCUCGAGCACGGUAGAGGCGGGCGGAAUUCCUGGUGUAGCGGUGGAAUGCGUAGAUAUCAAGAAGAACACCGGUGGCGAAGGCGGCUCGCUGGGCCGUUGCUGACGCUGAGGCACGAAAGCGUGGGGAGCAAACAGGAUUAGAUACCCUGGUAGUCCACGCCCUAAACGAUGGACACUAGGCGUCGGGGGGAGCGACCCUCCCGGUGCCGUCGCUAACGCAAUAAGUGUCCCGCCUGGGGAGUACGGCCGCAAGGCUGAA